rnacentral:rRNA from 1 species
CUUAACACAUGCAAGUCGAGGGGCAGCAUGGUCUUAGCUUGCUAAGGCCGAUGGCGACCGGCGCACGGGUGAGUAACACGUAUCCAACCUGCCGUCUACUCUUGGACAGCCUUCUGAAAGGAAGAUUAAUACAAGAUGGCAUCAUGAGUCCGCAUGUUCACAUGAUUAAAGGUAUUCCGGUAGACGAUGGGGAUGCGUUCCAUUAGAUAGUAGGCGGGGUAACGGCCCACCUAGUCUUCGAUGGAUAGGGGUUCUGAGAGGAAGGUCCCCCACAUUGGAACUGAGACACGGUCCAAACUCCUACGGGAGGCAGCAGUGAGGAAUAUUGGUCAAUGGGCGAGAGCCUGAACCAGCCAAGUAGCGUGAAGGAUGACUGCCCUAUGGGUUGUAAACUUCUUUUAUAAAGGAAUAAAGUCGGGUAUGGAUACCCGUUUGCAUGUACUUUAUGAAUAAGGAUCGGCUAACUCCGUGCCAGCAGCCGCGGUAAUACGGAGGAUCCGAGCGUUAUCCGGAUUUAUUGGGUUUAAAGGGAGCGUAGAUGGAUGUUUAAGUCAGUUGUGAAAGUUUGCGGCUCAACCGUAAAAUUGCAGUUGAUACUGGAUAUCUUGAGUGCAGUUGAGGCAGGCGGAAUUCGUGGUGUAGCGGUGAAAUGCUUAGAUAUCACGAAGAACUCCGAUUGCGAAGGCAGCCUGCUAAGCUGCAACUGACAUUGAGGCUCGAAAGUGUGGGUAUCAAACAGGAUUAGAUACCCUGGUAGUCCACACGGUAAACGAUGAAUACUCGCUGUUUGCGAUAUACUGCAAGCGGCCAAGCGAAAGCGUUAAGUAUUCCACCUGGGGAGUACGCCGGCAACGGUGAAACUCAAAGGAAUUGACGGGGGCCCGCACAAGCGGAGGAACAUGUGGUUUAAUUCGAUGAUACGCGAGGAACCUUACCCGGGCUUAAAUUGCAGAUGAAUUACGGUGAAAGCCGUAAGCCGCAAGGCAUCUGUGAAGGUGCUGCAUGGUUGUCGUCAGCUCGUGCCGUGAGGUGUCGGCUUAAGUGCCAUAACGAGCGCAACCCUUGUUGUCAGUUACUAACAGGUUCCGCUGAGGACUCUGACAAGACUGCCAUCGUAAGAUGUGAGGAAGGUGGGGAUGACGUCAAAUCAGCACGGCCCUUACGUCCGGGGCUACACACGUGUUACAAUGGGGGGUACAGAGGGCCGCUACCACGCGAGUGGAUGCCAAUCCCCAAAACCUCUCUCAGUUCGGACUGGAGUCUGCAACCCGACUCCACGAAGCUGGAUUCGCUAGUAAUCGCGCAUCAGCCACGGCGCGGUGAAUACGUUCCCGGGCCUUGUACACACCGCCCGUCAAGCCAUGGGAGCCGGGGGUACCUGAAGUGCGUAACCGCGAGGAGCGCCCUAGGGUAAAACUGGUGACUGGGGCUAAGU